CCAUUGAAAGUUAGAAAUUUUUGUCAAAAUGAAAGACAUGAAAAUCCUAUUAUAUUUUUCCCUUCUUAUGCUUCUUUUCUCCAUUGAUUUUGGAAAUCAAGUGUUAAUGGUAGAGGGUGAAUGUACUAAAUACACAGAACAUUUUUGUCAUAAAGGGGAGACUUGGGUUUGCACAGUCUAUUGUAAGGUUGCAUGCAAAAAUAUACAUGCAACUGGAACAUGUUGGGAUGACCAUUUUUGUGCUUGUAAUUGUUGUAAUUAAAAUUUUCAAUUCUUAACCUUUCCAUUGUAUAAAAUGGAGAAAUAAUAAUUGAAAUAAAGUGGUUGCAUUCCAUAAUC